AAUUUUGGACAAUGGGCGCAAGCCUGAUCCAGCCAUGCCGCGUGAGUGCAGAAGGCCUUCGGGCUGUAAAGCUCUUUCGGACGGAAAGAAAUCGCGCUGGCCAAUACACUGCGCGGACUACGGUACAGUCAUAAGCAGCCCAGGCCAACUACGUGCCAGCAGCCGCCGUAAUACGUAGGGUGCGAGCGUUAAUCGGAAUUACGCGGCGUAAAGCGUGCGCAGGCGGUUGAUUAAGACAGGCGUGAAAUCCCCGGGCUUAACCUGGGAACUGCGCUUGUGACUGGUCAGCUAGAGUACGGCAGAGGGGGGUGGAAUUCCACGUGUAGCAGUGAAAUGCGUAGAGAUGUGGAGGAACACCGAUGGCGAAGGCAGCCCCCUGGGCCGAUACUGACGCUCAUGCACGAAAGCGUGGGUAGCAAACAGG
rnacentral:rRNA from 1 species